UAUAUUAUUAUAUCGAUAUAAAAAUAAAAUAAAAUAGUGCUAAAGUAAAUGUUAUAUCUUUACUACAUCAAAGAACGUUUCUGUUUCAGAAUAAGAUUUUGCAAUCAAUCCUUAACUUUUAGUUACAUUCAGUUUUAUUACAGUUGGAUAAGAAAAGUAUUUUAUUUAAUAUAUUGAAAAACACACCACCUCGAUAAGAAUAAAAUCGUUGUGCAAACGAGGUAUUAACAGCGAUUCGUAUGUUGCGAAAAUUCUCCUAUAGUGGGGUAAUAGGAAUGAUGACUGGGUAUAAAAAGAAA